GCGGAGGUGGCGAAAUUGGUAGACGCACUACUUUGAGGUGGUAGCGGGGUAACAGCCGUGGGAGUUCGAAUCUCCUCUUCCGCACAA
rnacentral:tRNA from 3 species